AGCGAACGCUGGCGGCAGGCCUAACACAUGCAAGUCGAACGAACUCUUCGGAGUUAGUGGCGGACGGGUGAGUAACACGUGGGAACGUGCCUUUUGGUUCGGAAUAACUCAGGGAAACUUGUGCUAAUACCGAAUGUGCCCUUCGGGGGAAAGAUUUAUCGCCAUUAGAGCGGCCCGCGUCUGAUUAGCUAGUUGGUGAGGUAACGGCGCACCAAGGCGACGAUCAGUAGCUGGUCUGAGAGGAUGACCAGCCACACUGGGACUGAGACACGGCCCAGACUCGUGCGGGAGGGAGCAGUGGGGAAUCUUGCGCGAUGGGCGAAAGCCUGACGCAGCCAGGCCGGGUGAAUGAGGAAGGUCUUAGGAUUGUAAAAUUCUUUCACCGGGGACGAUAAUGACGGUACCCGGAGAAGAAGCCCCGGCUAACUUCGUG
rnacentral:rRNA from 1 species